rnacentral:rRNA from 1 species
UACAGAGGUCUCAAGCGUUGUUCGGAUUCAUUGGGCGUAAAGGGCGCGUAGGCGGUUCGUACAGUCAGACGUGAAAUUCCUGGGCUCAACCUGGGGGCUGCGUUUGAUACGUGCGGACUUGAGUGCGGAAGAGGGUCGUGGAAUUCCCAGUGUAGAGGUGAAAUUCGUAGAUAUUGGGAAGAACACCGGUGGCGAAGGCGGCCUUCUGGACGAUGACUGACGCUGAGACGCGAAAGCGUGGGGAGCAAACAGG